rnacentral:rRNA from 1 species
UUGAGAGUUUGAUCCUGGCUCAGAACGAACGCUGGCGGCAGGCUUAACACAUGCAAGUCGAGCGCCCCGCAAGGGGAGCGGCAGACGGGUGAGUAACGCGUGGGAAUCUACCCAUCCCUACGGGAUAGCUCCGGGAAACUGGAGAUAAUACCGUAUACGUCCUCCGGGAGAAAGAUUUAUCGGAGAUGGAUGAGCCCGCGUUGGAUUAGCUAGUUGGUGGGGUAAAGGCCUACCAAGGCGACGAUCCAUAGCUGGUCUGAGAGGAUGAUCAGCCACACUGGAACUGAGACACGGUCCAGACUCCUACGGGAGGCAGCAGUGGGGAAUAUUGGACAAUGGGCGCAAGCCUGAUCCAGCAAUGCCGCGUGUGUGAAGAAGGCUUUCGGGUUGUAAAGCACUUUCAGUGAGGAGGAAAACCUGACGACUAAUACUCGUGAGGCUUGACGUUACUCACAGAAGAAGCACCGGCUAACUCCGUGCCAGCAGCCGCGGUAAUACGGAGG